rnacentral:rRNA from 1 species
CCACCGAGCAUUCCCUAGUACGGCGAGUGAGCGGGAAGAGCUCAAAUUUGAAAUCUGGCAGUCUUCGAUUGUCCGAGUUGUAAUCUAUAGAGGCGUUUUCCGUGCCGGACCGUGUCCAAGUCUCCUGGAAAGGAGUAUCAAAGAGGGUGAUAAUCCCGUACUUAACACGACCACCGGUGCUCUGUGAUACGUCUUCUACGAGUCGAGUUGUUUGGGAAUGCAGCUCAAAAUGGGUGGUGAAUUCCAUCUAAAGCUAAAUAUUGGCGAGAGACCGAUAGCGAACAAGUACCGUGAGGGAAAGAUGAAAAGCACUUUGGAAAGAGAGUUAAACAGUACGUGAAAUUGUUGAAAGGGAAACGAUUGAAGUCAGUCGUGUUCUUUGGAUUCAGCCAGUUCUGCUGGUCUACUUCCUUUGAACGGGUCAACAUCAGUUUUGUCCGGUGGAUAAAGGUAGUAGGAAUGUGACUUCUCCGGAAGUGUUAUAGCCUAUUAUCACAUACACUGGGUGAGACUGAGGACUGCAGCUCGCCUUUAUGGCCGACCUUCGGGUACGUUCGAGCUUAGGAUGUUGACAUAAUGGCUUUAAACGACCCGUCUUGAACCACGGACCA